GCUCCUAUCUCGUAUGAGCGGCGGACGGGUGAGUAAUGUAUGGGGACUGCCCGAUAAGGGGGGAUAACUACUGGAAACGGUGGCUAAUACCGCAUACUAUAGGAUAACCCAUAUGGGAUUAGCUAGUAGGUGGGGUAAAGGCUGACCUAGGCGACGAUCUCUAGCUGGUCUGAGAGGAUGAUCAGACACACUGGGACUGAUACACGGCCCAGAUGCCUACGGAGGAAGAAUGUUGUAAUAGUUCACAAUGUGUGAAAGCCUGAGGCAGCCAUUCCGCGUGUAUGAAGAAGGCCUUAGGGUUGUAAAGUACUUGAAGCGUGGAGGCGUUACCCGCAGAAGAAGAACCGGCUAACGCCGUGCCAGACGCCGCGGUAAUAC
rnacentral:rRNA from 1 species